rnacentral:lncRNA from 1 species
AGACAUGAGAUAAAUUAUACUUACGAAUUUUCAUUCAAAAAGGGUCUUGGAGGACAACACGAAAAGCAAGUUGGAGUGCCGAAUGUAUUGAACAGAUGAGGUUCUCCAGUGCGAUUAAAUAAUUACAGGCAUCAUUUAUGUUCAAGCUAUCAUAAAGGAUGCAAUAGAUUUGUCUUUUGACCCUCAAUUAGAGAUAUAUUUUGUUGUGGGCUAUUAGGCCUGACGUAAAAUGAAAACGGCCUGUGGCCCAUUUAUUUAAUGCAUGGCCC